GACGCUCUGGGCCGCCACCUCCGCGGACCCUGAGCGCAAGAGCCAAGCCGCCAGCGCUGCGAUGUGGGCCACGCUGCCGCUGCUCUGCGCCGGGGCCUGGCUCCUGGGAGUCCCCGUCUGCGGUGCCGCCGAACUGUGCGUGAACUCCUUAGAGAAGUUUCACUUCAAGUCAUGGAUGUCUAAGGAAAACAAAAAGGUCUCCCUCUAGGGAGCUGCAGCCUGUUUCCAUGACUUGCUACUGGCGUGUUUUGUUUUAGCACCGUAAGAC
rnacentral:lncRNA from 1 species